CCUACGGGAGGCAGCAGUGAGGAAUAUUGGUCAAUGGGCGCGAGCCUGAACCAGCCAAGUAGCGUGAAGGAUGACUGCCCUACGGGUUGUAAACUUCUUUUAUAAAGGAAUAAAGUGAGGCACGUUUGCCUUUUUGUAUGUACUUUAUGAAUAAGGAUCGGUUAAACCGGUGCCAGCAGCCGCGGUAAUACGGAGGAUCAGAGCUUUAUCCGGAUUUAUUGGGUUUAAAGGGAGCGUAGAUGGGUUGUUAAGUAAGUUGUGAAAGUUUGCGGCUCAACCGUAAAAUUGCAGUUGAUACUGGGAGCCUUGAGUACAGUUGAGGUAGGCGGAAUGCGUGGUGUAGCGGUGAAAUGCUUAGAUAUCACGAAGAACUCCGAUUGCGAAGGCAGCUUACU
rnacentral:rRNA from 1 species